rnacentral:rRNA from 1 species
UACGUAGGGAGCAAGCGUUGUCCGGAAUCAUUGGGCGUAAAGCGCGCGUAGGCGGCCUCGUAAGUCCGUUGUGAAAAGUCAAAGGCUCAACCUUUGAAAGCCGAUGGAUACUGUGAGGCUAGAGUCCGGAAGAGGCGAGUGGAAUUCCUGGUGUAGCGGUGAAAUGCGUAGAUAUCGGAAGGAACAUCAGUGGCGAAAGCGGCUUCCUGGACCAGUACCGACGUUCAGGCACGAAAGCGUGGGGAGCAAACAGG